rnacentral:rRNA from 1 species
UACGAAGGUGGCAAGCGUUACUCGGAAUUACUAGGCGUAAAGGGCAGGUAGGUGGUUUGGUUAGUCUGUUGUGAAAGCUCCUUGCUUAACGGGGAGAGGUCAACAGAUACUGCCAGGCUUGAGUAUAGGAGAGGGUACUGGAAUUCCCGGUGUAGCGGUGAAAUGCGCAGAGAUCGGGAGGAACACCAAUGGCGAAAGCAGGUACCUGGACUAUUACUGACACUCAGCUGCGAAAGCUAGGGGAGCAAACAGG